ACACACGGCUUAAUCUUAUUUUUGCAUAUGCCAUACUUACUACGAUUCUUUCUCUUCACUAAAGCUGCAAAGUCUAGUGCACGUGACAUACAGCUAAGGUAUCCAUUCAUUCAUGUCCCACAAGUUGUGUUAUUAAUCGGUAGUCAUAAUUUCACAAAAAUAAACGCCACAUUCAUAACUCGUUCUUGACUACGCAAAUCAUUCUAGAACAAUUGGUGUGGAAUGAAGGUUGGAAUUAAGUUGGCAGUGCUUUGCAAGUCUAUUUGCAAACUAAAUAUCAAAGCGAGGCCCGGACUGAGUUACCGGUAUGCCUCCAACGGAAACAACAUGACAACAAUAUUUUCUGAAAAUCGAGAAUCUAUCCUGGUUCGGGGACAUGGAAAGUCGACUUCAACCUGAAAAGGAUGAGUGGAGAGUGCAAAAUUUUCAACCAAAAUAGGAAACUCCACCACCACCAUGGACAAAAUUGUAUAAAUAGAGCCCACACUUUUGUUACUCAAUCUUUACAGUUUUUCUUGCUCUUAUUUCAUUUUCAAGUCACAAAAGUGAAUCUUUAUAAUCAAAAUGGUGGAUAGUAAAGUUCCAGAGGCCGGAGAGAAGUGGGUCAAUCCUAGAGCCAAGCCAAAAUCUGUGAAGCUAACCCCGGAGGAGGAAGAAGCCAAGUCUGCUCGAAACAUGAGCCUCCUCAAGUACGGGGUCGCGAUUGCUUUCGUCGGCUGGGUUGGUCAACAGUGGUACUAUUCCGUCCCGAAUGUCUACCACUAACAGGAGGUUAAAUGAUUCCAUGGUCCCGUGUUGGAGUGGGGAGCGUGCAUCGUUCAGCACCUUAUCCCUCCUAUAUUAUUUGAGUGUAUUAAAUUAUAUAUGUCAUGUAAAAGUAUAUUAUGUAAGCUAUGUAUCAAGGUGGAAUAUUUUUACUCUGCGAACACAACUGAAAUAUGUACUUAUACUAAACUCAAUAAAAUAACAAUCUAUAGAUUGUC